UACGGGAGGCAGCAGUGGGGAAUUUUGGACAAUGGGCGCAACCCUAAUCCAGCAAUGCCGCGUGCAGGAGGAAGCCCUUCGGUUUUAAACUCCUUUUGUGCGGAAGGAAAACUUUUGGGUUAAUACCCAGGGCUCAUGACCGUACCGAGAUAGCC
rnacentral:rRNA from 1 species